UGGGGAAUAUUGCACAAUGGGCGCAAGCCUGAUGCAGCCAUGCCGCGUGUGUGAAGAAGGCCUUCGGGUUGUAAAGCACUUUCAGCGAGGAGGAAGGUGGUGAACUUAAUACGUUCAUCAAUUGACGUUACUCGCAGAAGAAGCACCGGCUAACUCCGUGCCAGCAGCCGCGGUAAUACGGAGGGUGCAAGCGUUAAUCGGAAUUACUGGGCGUAAAGCGCACGCAGGCGGUUUGUUAAGUCAGAUGUGAAAUCCCCGGGCUCAACCUGGGAACUGCAUUUGAAACUGGCAAGCUAGAGUCUCGUAGAGGGGGGUAGAAUUCCAGGUGUAGCGGUGAAUGCGUAGAGAUCUGGAGGAAUACCGGUGGCGAAGGCGGCCCCCUGGACGAAGACUGACGCUCAGGUGCGAAAGCGUGGGGCAGCAAACAGGAUUAGAUACCCUGGU
rnacentral:rRNA from 1 species